rnacentral:rRNA from 1 species
AGGCGGACGGGUGAGUAACGCGUAAGGAGCUUGCCCUGCAGACAGGGAUAACAGACGGAAACGACUGAUAACACCUGGUAUUGUCAGGCUGGCGCAUGCCGGCCUGAUGAAAGGAGACGCUGCAGGAGAGCCUUGCGUCCUAUUAGCUAGUUGGUGGGGUAACGGCCCACCAAGGCGAUGAUAGGUAGCCGGCCUGAGAGGGUGAACGGCCACCAAGGGAACUGAGAUACGGCCCUUACUCCUACGGGAGGCAGCAGUGGGGAAUAUUGGACAAUGGGGGCAGCCCUGAUCCAGCAAUUCUGUGUGCAUGAAGAAGGUUUUCGGAUUGUAAAGUGCUUUCAGCAGGGAAGAAGAAAGUGACGGUACCUGCAGAAGAAGCGACGGCUAAAUACGUGCCAGCAGCCGCGGUAAUACGUAUGUCGCAAGCGUUAUCCGGAAUUAUUGGGCAUAAAGGGCAUCUAGGCGGCCCUGUAAGUCUAGGGUGAAAACCUGCGGCUCAACCGCAGGCCUGCCCCGGAA